GGCGAGACGGGGCCCUGGCCAGGCGUUGGGAGGCGGGAGGCUCGGCCGGCGCUCCGGUUUUGAAGCAGUUGCUCCAAAUCAAUCCCUGGCCUAGAAGCUGGAGACACAGAGAAGAGGGACCUGGCUCUACCUUCAAAGACCUGGCUUGAGUCAAAGGUGACUCAGUCUCUCGGAGGUGAUGCAAAUAAACCAGGUGGUCUUGGAUUUUUUUAAGACACUGUGCGGAUGGUUCCCAGAAAGAAUGAAGAGGAAAUCUGUUUAUACUUCUUGUCUUUGGACGAACAUCUUUCUCCAUCGUGGAAGUUUGAUUUUCAGCAGCUUGACUUGGAAGAGAUGAAGGAAGAAUUUCUGGAUUUCCAACAGGAAAGUGUUUCUUAAACUCUGAGUCUGGACAACAUUUACCCUGCAAUUGUGAAUAAUAUAUCAAAUUUUAAAAUGACUUCAGCUUUAAUGGUCAGAAAAUACAGUAGACUAGAUAACACAAGAAAUUCCCACUGUAAACACUUUUAUAUGGUGUAUAAGGAGCUGAAAUUCUUUCCCCUGAAUAAGCAGAGAAACAACACCACAAAUGAUUGUCCUUGUCAACGGCUAGCCCAGCUCUCCCACAACUGCAUACAUGGCCUGUGCUCAUG
rnacentral:lncRNA from 10 species